rnacentral:misc_RNA from 1 species
AAUGUGGUGAAGUUUGAAGUGCAGGUAAUGUGCAUAUCCUUAUUUUACUGUUGUUGUGCUGUUGUUGCUGUUCUGUGGGACUUCUUAGAAAGAAUUUAAAUGAAAAAUGUAUCACAUUUGGGGAUUGGUGGGUGGAUGUGUAAAUUUUAUAUUUUUGGCCUCCUUUGGAUUGAUGUGAUCUGUAAAAGAUGAAUUUAGAAGCCUCUAAAAUGUGCACAGCUCAUACGGGAUCAAUUUUCAUGCCAAUAGCUUCUUGUAAAUCAUUGAAUUUUAUUGAUUUGGCGAGCAUGAAUCCAAAGACAUGAAGCUGACGUAUAUAUGUGUUGACAGCUUUACAAAACUCGCGAGGAG